rnacentral:pre_miRNA from 12 species
AAGCGACCGGCGUGUUGGCAGUGUGGUUAGCUGGUUGUGUAGCUUAUAGAAAGCACGACCGCUAUCGACACUGCAAUUAUGACGGUCGCGAU